rnacentral:rRNA from 1 species
CACGCUACUCAGUAUGCCUUACACAUGCAAGUCGCAACGCGAAAGGGGGGCAACUGCCUGAGUAGAGUGGCGCACGGGUGAGUAAUACAUCGGAACGUGUCCUGUAGCGGGGGAUAACCUAGCGAAAGCUAGGCUAAUACCGCAUACUCCUAAGGGAGAAAGUGGGGGAUCGUAACACCUCACACUAUAGGAGCGGCCGAUGCCGGAUUAGCUAGUUGGUGGGGUAAAAGCUCACCAAGGCAACGAUCCGUAGCUGGUCUGAGAGGAUGAUCACCCACACUGGGACUGACACACGGUCCACACUCCUACGGGAGGCAGCACUGGGGAAUUUUGGACAAUGGGGGAAACCCUGAUCCAGCCAUGCCGCGUGAGUGAAGAAGCCGUGUCGGUUGUAAAGCUCUUUCGGCCGGGACGAAAUCGCACGCUGAAUAUCAUAGUGCUGGAUCACUCGUUCCGGCAAAUAAGGACCGGCUAACUACGUGCCAUGGAUCCUCUGGUAA